rfam:Phalacrocorax carbo contig120187, whole genome shotgun sequence.
AGAGCUUUUCAGCCUUUUGGGGAAGCUCAAGUGUAGUGUGUGGUCUUACUAGUUUCUUAUCUGACAGGCAGCUGCAAGGAUUCACUGUUAAAUAGCAUUGUGGAGACGGGAGAUGGUCUGGGAGCUUGCUCCAACCGCUCCACACGUGGCCCUGGUAUCACAAUACCUGCUGGUGCACUGUUAGCCCU